GGGAAAGCACGUUCAAGGACAAUAGGAGAGAAGGAAGAGAAAGAGAGUGGAGUUCAGAAUCAGAACUUUGAAUGUUGGGAAUAUGACUGGUAAAGGGAGACAGCUGGCUGAUAUGACAGAGCGGAGAAAGGUAGAUGCACUGUGCGUACAGGAAACCAAGUGGAAAAGGAGUAAGGCCAGAAGCACCAGAGAUGUGUGCAAACUGUUCUGCCAUAGUGUGGACAGGAAGAGAAAUGGGGUAAGGGUAAUUCUAAAGGAAGAUGUUCGGAGUGUUUUAAGGUGAAGGGAAUGUCUGACAGAGUGAUGAGCAUAAAGUUGAAAGUCAAAGAUGUAAUGUUAAAUGUCAUCAUCGCACAUGCUCCACAAGUGCAAUGUGAGAUGGAGAAGAAAGAAGAUUUCUGGAGUGAGUUAGAUGAAAUGUUGGAGAAUUUACCCAAAGAAUCAAGAGUGGUGAUCGGAGGGGAUCUUAAUGGGCACGUUGGCGAAGGGAAGAGUGGUGAUGAGGAGGUGAUAGGAAGAUAUGGCUUUAAGGAGAGAAAUGUUUAAGGGCAAGUGGUGGUUGACUUUGAAAAAAGGAUAGGAACGGUGGUGGUGAAAACAUAUUUUAAGAAGGAAGAGGAACACGGUGGACAAUGUCCUAUGUAGGAGAUGCAAUGUGAAAGAGAUUAGAGAGUGUAAGGUGGUUGGAGGGGAUAGUGUAGCUAGACAGCAUCAAUUGCUGAUAUGUAGGAUGAAUUUCAAGGUGAAAAAGAGGAAGAGAGUGAGAAUGGAACCAAGGAUCAGAUAGUGGAAGCUGGAAGAGGAAGACUACUGUGUGAAAUUCAGAGAGGAAGUAAGUCAGGUGCUUGGUGGUGAUGAAGACAUUAAAGAUGACUUAAACACCACAGCUGAAGUGGUAAGGGAGAGUGCUAGGAAGCUGCUUCGUGUGACAUUUGGACAGAGGAAGGAAGACAAAGAGACUUGGUGGAGGAAUGAAGAAUUACAGGAAUGCAUAAAGAGGACAAGUUGACAAAAGCAGACAGGUGUACAAAGAGAUGUUGUGCAAAGUGAAGAGAGAGGUGGUGACGGCUAAGGAAAAGCCAUAUGUCGAUCUAUAUGUGAACAUGAACACAAAGGAAGGUGAAAAGCACUUGUACCAAUUGGCCAGACAGAGCGACCAAGCAAGGAAGGACAUGCUGCAGGUCAGAGUGUUAAUAGGUGCAGAUGGAAAUUUGCUGACAAGCAAGGAGAGUGUAUUGAAAAGGUGGAAGGAGUACUUUGAAGGGCUUAUGAAUAUAUAAAAUGAGAGAGAAUGUAGGUUGAAUGAAGUAGAGAUAGCAAAUUACAAAGUACUGGGGAUCAGCAAGGCUGAAGUGAGGGAAGCUAUAAAGAGGAUAAAAAGUGGAAAAGCAGUUGGCCUGGACAAUAUACCAGUGGAAGCAUGGAGAUGUUUAGGUGAUAUGGCAAUAGAGUUUCUAACUAGGCUUUUUAAUAAAAUCUUGAAGGUUGAGUAGAUGCCUGAGGAGUGAUGAAGAAGUAAGUAUUUUAGUAUCAACUUUCAAGAAUAAGGGAGAUGUGCACAGGUGCAGUAACUACUGGAGUAUAAAGCUGAUUAGCCACACCAUGAAGAUAUGGGAAAGAGUGAUGGAUGCUAGGCUGUGAGGAGAAGUGGCAAUCUGUGAGCAGCAAUAUGGUUUCAUACCAGGAAAGAGUACUAUAGAUGCAAUGUUUGCUUUGAAAGUGUUGAUGGAGAAGUACAGAAAAGGUCAGAAGGAAUUACAUUGCUUGUUUGUGGACUUGAAGAAAGCAUAUGACAGGGUGCCAAGAGAGGAGUAAUGGUACUAUAUGAGGAAGUUGGGAGUAGCAGAAAAGUAUGUGAGGGUGGUGCAGGAUAUGUAUAAGAACAGUGUGACUGCGGUGAGGAGUGCGGUAGAAAUGACAGACUGAUUCAAGUUGAGAGUGGGAUUACAUCAAGGAUCGGAUCUGAGCUCUUUAAUGGUUGCAGUGGUGAUGAACAGGUUGACAGAUGUGGUCAGAUAGGAGUCUCCAUAGACUAUGAUGAUCGUGGAUGACACUAUGAUCUGUAGUGAGAGUAGACAGCAGGUUGAGGCAAAUCUGGAGAGGUGGAGCUAUGAACAGGAGAGAAGGGGAAUGAGACUCAGUAGGAGUAAGACAGAGUACAUGUUCAUAACUGAAAGGGAAGGUGCUAGAAGUGUGCGAAUGCAAGAAGCAGAGGCGGUGAAGGUAGACAAAUUUAUAUACUUAUGUUCAACACUGUAAAGCAGUGGAGAGUGUGGCCGAGAGGUGAAAAAGACACUGCAGACAGGGUGGACUGGGUGAAGAAGAGUGGCAGGAGUGAUUUGUGACAGAACAGUAACUGAAAGAGUGAAAGGGAAGGUCUAUAAAAUGUUAGUGAGAAAAGCUAUAUUGUAUGGUUUGGAGAUGGUGGCACUGAUGAAAAGGCAAUAGGUGGAGCUGGAACUGGCAAAGAUAAAGAUGUUGGAGUAAUAAGGGUAGACAGGAUUAGAAAUGAGUAUAUUAGAAAGAUAACUCAGGUAUGACAGCUUGGUGACCAAGUGAGAGGGGCUAGAUUGAAAUGGUUUGGUACAUAGGGAAAAUAAUGUUGAGGAUGGAAACUCCAGGCGAAAGGAAAAGAGGAAGGCCAAGAGGAACUUUAUGGAUGUGGUGAGGGAGGAUAUGAAGGCAGUGAGUGUGGCAGAAAAUUAAGUCAAAGACAGGGAUAAAUGGAGACAGAUGAUCCUCUGUGCCAACCCCUAAAUGGGAGCAACUGAAAGAAGAAGUUUAGUUAAAAAAAUAAGUGAAGUUGAUUAGUAUAAAGUUUAUAUAUUUUUCUUUUUUCUGUUUUAAAUUAAAUAU